rnacentral:rRNA from 1 species
CACGCCGUAAACGAUGAGUGCUAGAUGUCGCAGGUAUUGACCCCUGCGGUGUCGAAGCUAACGCAUUAAGCACUCCGCCUGGGAAGUACGGUCGCAAGACUAAAACUCAAAGGAAUUGACGGGGGCCCGCACAAGCGGUGGAGCAUGUGGUUUAAUUCGACGCAACGCGCAGAACCUUACCUAGGCUUGAAAAGCAUGGAACCCGGUGGAAACACUGGGGUGCUCGCAAGAGAACCAUGAUUCAGGUGC